UAGAUCUAUUCAUUAUUAGUAGUAGUUGAGCUGCUGAUUGUAACAAUAUGCUUACGUGAGUUUCAGACUAAGUGCUCUAAUAUUCAUUGUUAGUCAAAUUACUUACUAUUGAAAUGUCGUGGUUCUCUAUAUAUGUCAUCUCUCAUUGGAUGUCUGAAUUUAGACUCCGGCUGUAGGGUUGUUUGUGUUGUGUGGUAUGAAUUGCCUUUGUACUUCAAAAUGCAUGUAUCAAGUGUCGAUUUUCUAAUAAAACGAUCUGUAUAUCUGCAUUACAGUUGGAAUAUUCAUAUGUAUGGUUUCAUGCUUCCAAGAAUAACAAACACUAUGCACCCAGCUCUCUCUUUUGUGGCCACUAACCAUUCACUCUUUCUUUUGUUCCUACAACCUGCAUUGGCGUAAGUUUGAUUUUAUAUUGCCUACUUCAAGCACCGAUGGACCACCACAUGUUUGAAUUAUUUGUUUUUCAGAGAUUAUUUCUCUGGAUUUCCAUUUUUAUUGAUCAGAAGGCACGGGUGCAGUUGGGACGGUGGCGUGCCGGAAGGGCUGUCUUGCGAGUUGACCGGAGUGGGAGUACACCGGAGAGGCUUCUGAGAUGGCUGAGGUGGUUCUUCGCUCCUCUGAUUGUCUUCUCGUUUGUGCUGUACAUGCGCUCAUCCAGGGAUUUGUUGUUUUUUAGGGAUUUGUCUAAGGUUUGCUGGUUGAUUUGUCUUGGCUGGGGUCUGCUUGUUCUCUUGGCUCCUGGGCUGUGCUGCUCGAAGUUGCUUCACUGGUUUCCUUGCAGGCACCCAAGCUUUUCUUCGCGCGAUGGCAUCAGGCACACGGAGGGAGCUCUUCUUCAUCGGUGCGAUGAACAAUGACCGUGAUCUCCGUUCCACACCGUCACCAGCUAGCAAGAUGAAGCAUUCUGUCACGGUUAGGCCGAAGGCUAUGCUUAGCGCCGUUCUUGCUGAAGAUGGUUUACCCGAGGUGAAGUACAAGACCUGCGCAUCUUACCGUGGCCGUGUGGCGGCUACUCCAUCACAGUCGCGUUCAUCUGCAGCGGCAGAGCAUAUGAGGAUCAAUGGCGACCCAGCUGUGGAUGCCAAUGGGCCAUGCAAAAUGCUGCUCCUCGGUGCUUGGAGCAUCUUCAGGCCACCAUGGAUAUUGAAUUUGACUGCCCUCAAAUGCAGAAAAUUAAGACCGAGAUGAAGUACCUGUCGGGCAGUGUCGACGAGAAAGACAGGAAGAUCAGAGAUCUGAAGGCUAAGGUGGAAAAAAGGAAUCUGCGGGUCAAUGGGCUUACCAAGGGCUGGGGUCACUGGCAGAUUACCUGCUCGGAUCUGCAUAUGAUCAAGCUGUGCUUCCGACUGGUUCUUCGGUAGUUCGUUUUUUAUCAUAGCUGAAAAUGCAUUGCACCGUGUAUGCUUACUCUCCUAUGAUGCUUUCUACGCUCUUGUGUUAGGUAAGGGGCAGUACUUGCUUCGAUCAUUUUGAUUCUGAUUAGAUCUUUAUUUCCAUUUGACUUCCUGCUGUA